rnacentral:rRNA from 1 species
UACGUAGGGUGCGAGCGUUGUCCGGAAUUAUUGGGCGUAAAGGGCUCGUAGGCGGUUUGUCGCGUCGGGAGUGAAAACCUCGGGCUUAACUCGGGGCUUGCUCUCGAUACGGGCAGACUAGAGGUAUGCAGGGGAGAACGGAAUUCCUGGUGUAGCGGUGAAAUGCGCAGAUAUCAGGAGGAACACCGGUGGCGAAGGCGGCCAUCUGGACGGCUAUUGACGCUGAGACGCGAAAGCAUGGGGAGCAAACAGG